rnacentral:rRNA from 1 species
UGGGGAAUAUUGCACAAUGGAGGGAACUCUGAUGCAGCGACGCCGCGUGAGUGAUGAAGGAAUUCGUUUCGUAAAACUCUGUUCUAUGGGAAGAAAAGGACUGUACCAUAGGAGAAAGCUCCGGCUAAAUACGUGCCAGCAGCCCCGGUAAUACGUAUGGAGCGAGCGUUGUCCGGAAUUAUUGGGCGUAAAGGGUGCGCAGGCGGCUUUACAAGUUGGAUGUGAAAUAUUGUGGCUCAACCACAAACGUGCAUCCAAAACUGCAAAGCUUGAGUUAAGGAGAGGUAAGUGGAAUUCCUGGUGUAGCGGUGGAAUGCAUAGAUAUCAGGAGGAAUACCGGUGGCGAAGGCGACUUACUGGACUUAAACUGACGCUCAGGCACGAAAGCGUGGGGAGCAAACAGG